rnacentral:rRNA from 1 species
AGUUCGCGAGGACAGCAAAUCUCCUAAACCGUGGCUCAGUUCAGAUCGUAGGCUGCAACUCGCCUACGUGAAGGAGGAAUCGCUAGUAAUCGCAGGUCAGCAUACUGCGGUGAAUACGUUCCCGGGCCUUGUACACACCGCCCGUCACACCAUGGAAGUUGGCCACGCCCGAAGCCGUUACUCCAACCCUUGUGGAGGAGGACGUCGAAGGUGGGGCUGAUGACUGGGGUGAAGUCGUAACAAGGUAGCCGUACCGGAAGGUGCGGCUGGAUCACCUCCUAAC